AUGAAUGACAUCAACUGCGCUAUCAUGCCUUGGAACGUUAGAGGACUCAAUUCGGCGGCUAAACGAGAAACUGUUAGAGAGGUAGGCGCGGCACAGAGACUGGCCAUUCUCUGUUUGCAAGAAACAAAAAUAGAUGUUUGGUCUCAAGCCAUGGUAAACGACAUCGGAGGUAGUUCGAUGAAAGACACCGUAGUUCUUCCGGCGAUAGGAUCUAGAGGUGGCAUUGCGAUCUUCUGGAACAGAGAUCUUGUAUCUAUCUGUUCACAAGCCGUAGGCCAGUUUUCGAGCACGACUGUCGUCUCUCUUGUGAGCUCGGCAACUAGUUUUGUGCUCACCACGGUCUACGGCCCCUCGGACGGCACAAACAAGGAGGCAUUCUUCGCUGAAUUAGCUAGAUCAGCCCCCCCUUAG
rnacentral:rRNA from 1 species